rnacentral:rRNA from 1 species
AUUGAACGCUGGCGGAAUGCUUUACACAUGCAAGUCGAACGGUAGAGGGGGCAACCCCUUGAGAGUGGCGAACGGGUGAGUAAUAUAUCGGAACGUGCCCAGUCGUGGGGAUAACGUAGCGAAAGUUACGCUAAUACCGCAUACGAUCUACGGAUGAAAGCGGGGGACUCGCAAGAGCCUCGCGCGAUUGGAGCGGCCGAUAUCAGAUUAGGUAGUUGGUGGGGUAAAGGCUCACCAAGCCAACGAUCUGUAGCUGGUCUGAGAGGACGACCAGCCACACUGGAACUGAGACACGGUCCAGACUCCUACGGGAGGCAGCAGUGGGGAAUUUGGACAAUGGACGCAAGUCUGAUCCAGCCAUUCCGCGUGCAGGAUGAAGGCCCUCGGGUUGUAAACUGCUUUUGUACGGAACGAAAAGGUUUCUAUUAAUACUAGGAGCUCAUGACGGUACCGUAAGAAUAAGCACCGGCUAACUACGUGCCAGCAGCCGCGGU